CCCGGCCUCAGGUGGUGUGGCAUCCUGAGGCCACGGUGCGAAGCAGGGUCAUGAGUCAGGGCCAGACAGGCACAAUGAUAUCUAAAAAGCCAGCUCAGACGGAUAGAGGAGCAGGCAGCCAACUUACUCAGAGCCUCUAAUUUACAGCAUUUGGUAUUCUUAUCAGCCCUCUGUGAGGUAGAUAUUAUGACUGAUGUUUUACAGAUAAGGAAGAUGAGGCUAAUGGAGGUGGGACAAUUCACCUGGCUAGUAGAACCAGUGCCCAUCCACUUCUUCUACUGUGCUGGCUGCCCAGAGAUGUCUCACUCCCUUCUCCCUGAGUCAGGCUUGGUUACAGCGAUGAUGGAGGUAGUCCGUGGGAAGAGAUGACACGGCCCCAGCUGAAGGAGAGGAGGUGUGCAAUAAACCUCCAAGGGGAGGGUGUGGAAUAAAGGAGGACUGAUAGAUGGGUCAAGGUCACAAGCAGGAGGAGCUGGCUCUGAUGGAAUCCAGACACUGACGUUUCAGUUCUGGACCCUUUCUCUUGUGCUAUGCUGCGAGGAGAGGACUGUCACCUGCCACGCUUCUGGGACACUGGGUUAAACGGCAGGACGGCUGGAGGGCUCAGGGCGGGCCCAGCAAAUGAGUGCUCAGAUUGCAGAGCCAGGCUGCUGCUGUCCUCUGGUCUCAAAGCUUUCCAAAAAGGCAGAGUAAGUGAUGACUUCAGGACAUGGAGUUCCAGAGAAAACUGGAGAGAGGAGCGAAGUCUCCUUGAUUGGGGAGAUGGAGAAAAAUGCCCACAGAGGGUGUGGUCUUUUAGUGUCAACACAGUCAAAAGACCCCUGUGCUAUCUACCUGUGUGCCCGCCUGCCUGGUGAGUGCCGGGCCCGCGGGAGCUGUCAACAGAGUCGCAGAAUGAAUGUUCCUGGAGGUCAGCAACUAAGUCAACACCACGGUUGGAAAAUUUCCAGCAUGUGGUCCUGGAAAAUGUUCUUAUUGCAAACAGAGUUUUCCAGGCACUACCAUUUCUUCCACAACCUGUGUAAGAGGGCAGAGACUGAAUUCAUGAGGCAGGAAAGGCUCUGGCUGCCCUUGGGCUGGUCACCAAAGGCCUAUCCAAUCAUUAAUUAGAUUGUGUCAAUGUUUGAGAAUUGUUGAAACAGAACAUUGUACUGGAACAUUUUGUCUGGAUAUUUUACUGUCCUGCAAAUGACAUGAAAACAUGCUUUUAAAACUGAGGGUUCAGAGACCCUGAGUAACUCAGUUUGGGGCCUCUCUACCAGUCAAUUCUGAAGGGACUUUGGUCUGUGACAACAAGUGGGAGAAGCAAACAGCAUGCUAAAGGAAAGAAGAAAUUUUGCCUGCAAUGCUGUGUUAGCUACAUUGCCAAUUCUCCAACAUUCUGUGCCCUUGAUGCCCCGAGGGGCUGGCGGUUGUGUUCUGCAUCGCCAGGGGCUGCCUUCUAGUUGAAUUUGGCGAAUGGAUGCACCAGCGGGUGAUUGGAGUGCUGGAGGAGAGAAAUGUCAGGUGUUUCCUCUGCUUCUGGACUCUGGCAGUAGCUAUGAUCUCCUAUACGGUCUUUAUCAAGGGGUCCAUCUGCUGCCCCCACUUCAUCAAACACACAGCUUUGGCUCUCACUGGGCUCCUGUAACACUAUCCUUUUGCCCCCUUAGAUCCACUGUUGCUAGGCUCUAGUUGUCUUGCCUCUGUGAAUAGUCCCUUUGACACAGUCUCUUCAUUUGAGCCCUCUGCAGGAUCUGCUUCUCUGCCGGAUCCUGACAGAAAUAGGCCAACUUCCUGGUCAUAACAAGUUUCUUGAGGGAAGUAAAUUUCACACACUCAGCAUUAUUGCUGUUGCUUGUUCCUGACGUUUGAUUUUUCCUUAUGGGAGAGAUUGUCUUUGUGCAUACUGGCAAUCUGAAAGACGGCAGGGUGCAGAGCAGGGAGCUGUGGACGAAAGUGCUGGAAGGCUCCCGCACACAGGUGCAGCAAGAUGGUGAGCUGUGCAGCGGGCAGGGUCAAGAGAUGGGAAAAGGAGGGCAGGGUAGCAGAACACAAGCAUAAGAGACACAGACAUGCUCUGCCCGGAUUGUGGAGCAUGUGGUCCAGCAAACAGCUUGCAGCUGACAUGAACUUCCGGGUCUGCCUCAGCGCAGAGGAACGCCUCGUGCAAGCUCAUCCCUUACCAGAGCAGCUUGACUGGGCAGGCAGGGAUAUAAAG
rnacentral:lncRNA from 1 species